rnacentral:rRNA from 1 species
CAAUAGGAGUCUGCUUCUAACCGUCUCUUGACUGAGACUAGCGACUUGUGCGCUAACUUUUGACUUGACCUCAAAUCAGGUAGGACUACCCGGCUGAACUUAAGCAUAUCAAUAAGCGGAGGAAAAGAAACUAACAAGGAUUCCCCUAGUAACUGCGAGUGAAGCGGGAAAAGCUCAAAUUUAAAAUCUGGCGGUCUCCGGCCGUCCGAGUUGUAAUUUAGAGAAGCGUUAUCCGUGCUGGACCGUGUAUAAGUCUCCUGGAAUGGAGCGUCAUAGAGGGUGAGAAUCCCGUCUUUGACACGGACUACCAGUGCAUUGUGAUGCGCUCUCGACGAGUCGAGUUGUUUGGGAAUGCAGCUCAAAAUGGGUGGUAAAUGCCAUCUAAAGCUAAAUAUUGGCGAGAGACCGAUAGCGAACAAGUACCGUGAGGGAAAGAUGAAAAGAACUUUGGAAAGAGAGUUAAACAGUACGUGAAAUUGUCGAAAGGGAAACGGUUGCAGUCAGUCGCGUCCGCCGGGGAUCAACCUUGCUUUUGCUUGGCGUAUUUCCCGGUGGAUGGGUCAGCAUCAGUUUUGACCGCAGUUGAAAGGCUGGAGGAAUGUGGCACCUUCGGGUGUGUUAUAGCCUCCUGUCAUAUGCUGCGGUUGGGACUGAGGAACUCAGCACGCCGAAAGGCCGGGAUUCGUCCACGUUCGUGCUUAGGAUGCUGGCAUAAUGUCUGUAACCGACCCGUCUUGAAACACGGACCAAGGAGUCUAACAUGCACGCGAGUGUUUGGGUGGCAAACCCGAGCGCGUAAUGAAAGUGAAAGUUGAGACCUCUGUCGUGGAGGGCAUCG